GAGAAAAAAACAAUUCAUUACACAUGUUAUCAUGUGACGACUACAGAUGUAUCUUGUGUCAUGCAAUAAGCCUACAUAUUCAAGUGAAUUAAUGCCUGUAAAAUUAGGAGGAAGAUAUGUAUAACAAAAUUGAAGAAAAAGAAGGAUCCUCCUCUUCUUGUGUAUCAGCAACUUCCUCAGUUCUUAUAUUCAUCAUCUGCGAAAGAAGUCGUUACACAUGUCUCAUUCUAUGAACGAGACGUCUAUUAUCACAGAAGAUUGUAUCAACAGAGCACACAGCAAGAAGCAAGAUACCAAAAUGCAGUAAACAUAUCUACAUAGGAGGAACUGCGCCAACCCAACAUCAUACGAGCAUCCAGCCUUAACAGGAAAACACAACAAAGCCACUGACAUUUGGAGUUCAACCGACACUAACAGUAACAGAAAUGUAAUAUGAAUAUGGAAUUGGAAAUAUAUUUUUCACUUAUACUAACUCAAUACAGUAAGAAGAAACACUCAGGCAUUUGUAUGAAUGGACAGAAAA